UCCUACGGGGGCAGCAGCCGCGGUAAUACAUAGGGAGCAAGCGUUAUCCGGAUUUAUUGGGUGUAAAGGGUGCGUAGACGGGAAAUUAAGUUAGUUGUGAAAUCCCUCGGCUUAACUGAGGAACUGCAACUAAAACUGGUUUUCUUGAGUACUGGAGAGGAAAGUGGAAUUCCUGGUGUAGCGGUGAAAUGCGUAGAUAUUAGGAGGAACACCAGUGGCGAAGGCGACUUUCUGGACAGUAACUGACGUUGAGGCACGAAAGUGUGGGGAGCAAACAGGAUUAGAAACCCUGGUAGUCCGCGCAG
rnacentral:rRNA from 1 species